rnacentral:rRNA from 1 species
GAUGAACGCUGGCGGCGUGCCUAAUACAUGCAAGUCGAGCGAACAGACGAGGAGCUUUCUCCUCUGACGUUAUCGGCGGACGGGUGAGUAACACGUGGAUAACCUACCUAUAAGACUGUUAUAACUUCGGGAAACCGGAGCUACUACCGGAUAAUAUAUUGAACCUCAUGGUUCAAUAGUGAAAUACGGUUUUGCUGUCACUUAUAGAUGGAUCCGCGCCGCAUUAGCUAGUUGUUAAGGUAACGGCUUACCAAGGCGACGAUGCGUAGCCGACCUGAGAGGGUGGUCGGCCACACGGGAACUGAGAAACGGUACAGACGCCGAGGGGAGGCAGCAGUAGGGAAUCUUCCGCAAGGGGGGAAAGGGUGACGGAGCAACGCCGCGGGAGUGAUGAAGGUCUUAGGAUCGUAAAACGAUGUUAUUAGGGAAGAACAAAUGUGUAAGUAACUAGGCACGUCUUGACGGUACCUAAUCAGAAAGCCACGGCUAACUACGUG